rnacentral:tRNA from 1 species
GGGGUACUAGCUCAAGUGGUAGAGCAUAUCUUUUGCACAGAUAAGGGGGUUGUUCGACUCAACCGUACUCCA